UCCACUGUAGGGAGAAAACUUUUCUAUUUCACAGCACAAGUUUACAAGUCAGGGACUCGAGGAAAAAAGAAGAAGAUGAUGAUGAUGAAAAAGAAGCCUCAUGAAUCAAUAUGAGAUAAAGAUGGUUAAUAUUAAAAAUAUUUAAUGUAAAAGGACAGAAAUUUGCCAUCAAAGCCAUGCUUCUACUUUUGUCCUCA